CCUACGGGAGGCAGCAGUAGGGAAUAUUGCUCAAUGGGGGAAACCCUGAAGCAGCAACGCCGCGUGGAGGAUGAAGGUUUUCGGAUUGUAAACUCCUUUUGUUAGAGAAGAUAAUGACGGUAUCUAACGAAUAAGCACCGGCUAACUCCGUGCCAGCAGCCGCGGUAAUACGGAGGGUGCAAGCGUUACUCGGAAUCACUGGGCGUAAAGAGCGCGUAGGCGGGAUAGCAAGUCAGAUGUGAAAUCCUAUGGCUUAACCAUAGAACUGCAUUUGAAACUGUUAUUCUAGAGAAUGGGAGAGGUAGGUGGAAUGCUUGGUGUAGGGGUAAAAUCCGUAGAGAUCAAGAGGAAUACUCAUUGCGAAGGCGACCUGCUAGAACAUAACUGACGCUGAUGCGCGAAAGCGUGGGGAGCAAACAGGAUUAGAUACCCGGGUAGUC
rnacentral:rRNA from 1 species